rnacentral:rRNA from 1 species
AGCGAACGCUGGCGGCGUGCUUAACACAUGCAAGUCGAACGUGAACGGGCUUCGGCCUUAGUAAAGUGGCGUACGGGUGAGUAACGCGUAGGUAAUCUACCCCGAAAUCUGGAAUAACCUGCCGAAAGGCGGGCUAAUACUGGAUAGAGCGAUGGAAUCCGUAAUUGGGUUUUUCGGGAAAGGAAGGAAGCAAUUCCCUUUGUUUCGGGAUGAGCCUGCGUCUCAUUAGCUAGUUGGUGGGGUAACAGCCUACCAAGGCAUUGAUGAGUAGCUGGUCUGAGAGGAUGAUCAGCCACACUGGAACUGAAACACGGUCCAG